rnacentral:lncRNA from 10 species
GUCUUGACGCUGGGUUCCGGCCUAGGGUUCUGGCUUUCCUCCUGGGCUAGUGAACGCGGCGAAGUCCUCCUCUUUCUAAUCUCCAGAGCCGCAGUUCCAUCCUCUGGGUCAGCGGCUUACCCUGACUGGGCUGCGGUAUCUGCCUUCCUUCCCCCAACAAGGCGACAGGUAGUCGGGGCUGGGGCCGGAACUGACUGAGUGGGCCGCAACUGACUGAGUGGGCCGCGGCUCCCGCCUGAGGAGGCUAGGAAGGACUGAACAGCAGCCGACUUCCCAGGCUCUAAAAAUCGUGCCUCUGAGUUAGAGCUACCUCAAAAGCAAGACCAAGCAUGAGAAAUGGAGUCUUUUGGCCAGUAUUGGGGUGUUCGGAAUUCAAGCGUAUGAGAGAGUGGACGGUAGCGUUGAGAAUUUUCAUUUGAAGAUCUCGUCUUAACCACCCCAAGUGUAGUCAGAGGCGGCGUUUUCCCUGCGAGAGUGCCCUGGAACAAAGCAAGGAUAGCGUGGGUUAGACAUACCUGAAAUGAAAGCGUCUUACUUUAUCUAGUCAGAUGGUUUCCAGUUCUUUGCUUUCAACAAAAUUAAUGGUGGCCCAUGAAUUGUCAGCUGAUGAAGGAACACUAUUUGGUUUUUGGCAUGCAACUCGGAAAGAAACCAAACGAUUGAUUGACAUGCUUACAACAAAACUACUAGCAUUCUCACCUAUUUAUGUAAAACCAUUUCUCAGCACUUGUAUCUGUGAAAACAACAGAAUUGAAAAUGAACCCUGUUAAUCUACCAGUAGGAACUAUUCAUCCAGAUAAAUGAAUUAAUUGGUGGGUCAGCCCCAUCUAUCUCACUAAGAGAUGUGUUCCCAAUAGAAUUUCACCUUUUAUAACUGUGUGUUAUCAAUAUUUGCAAUCGUGUCAUUUUGAUCCAUUAUAUACUAAAGAUGAUUGUGAUGAUUACUCACUUCAGAAGAAUUCCAGCGUAGAGCCAUAAAGUUACACGAAAUUUUUUAAGGUUUACUACAUAUGUCAUAUUUUUAUUGCGAAGAAGUGAUCAAGAAAAGGUUGUUCAAACAUCAAAGUACUAUAUUUGAAUAACAUUUUUUGUUAGAGUACAAUCUAAAUAUGUUAGAGAUAAUAAAAGAACAAUGUUGAAGAGCUCAUUAGUGUAUGUUUUAAUGCAUAAUGGUGGUUAUUCAGUUGUUAUGUAGAUUCUCUUGGAUACAUUAUAAAGAGUGAUUUAACAGUUUUAUCUUAAAAUGUCAGUAUUUACAAUUUGCAAGAAUUUACAUCCAUUGCAACUAUUUGAAUUUAUGAUGGAACCAGUUAGAUACCAACUUAAAUAUAUAAGGGGUAAACACUUUUUCAAAAUUUUCUCUCCCUCAGGCCAUCAUUGCUAUGCCCUCUUCACUCUUGACUUCAGCUGUCUGUGAGUCCAAAGCCUCACAGGAGCUUCUACCACCCAAGCUUUGUGGCUAAGGGCACAGGUUUAGAGUCAAGCUGCUUGAUUGCCAGCCACGGCCGCACCAUGUAUUAGCACGUUCUUUAAUCUGUGCAUCAGAUCCUCAUCAGUAAAAUGAGAAUAACAUAGUAUGUACUUACUUUCUCAUACUGUUAGGAUCAAAUGAGAAAAUUCAUGUAAAGCUCCUAGCAAUGUAGAUGGCCCUGAGUGCCCAAUAAAGGUUAGCUACUGCUUGGGAGAGGGGCAUCAUAGCAUUGAUCUGUCACCAUGUGUCUGAAGAGAUAGGAGAGUAGGAGGCCGAGGUGUCAAAAAGCCAAGACUGACUGGAAUUCAUUCAUUCAAUAAAUACUGAAUGUCUGCGAAAUGCCAGACGCAUUUCCAGGUGCCAGGGAUAUAGCAGUGAACCAAAGCCCCUCUCCUGGAGCUUACAUUCUUAGCUGGGGUGGAUGCAGUGUUUGAUAAAUAAUAAGCAAAUAUUUAAUAGUAAAAGUGGAAGUGGUGAUAAGUGCUAUGAAGAAAAAGCAGCAAAAAGGCAAUACAGCAUGUUGGUGUGAGGGAUGCUGCUUUACAUAAGUUGGUCAAGGAAGCCUUCUCAGAUUAACUGGCAUUUGAGUCCCCCAAAAAAAGUAAGAGAACAAGCUGUGUGGAUAUCUGAGGAAAUUGCCAGUCAGAGUGAAGAGCAAGUGCAAAGGCCCUGAGAUUGGCCAAUGCUUAUCAUAUCUGAGGAAUGGCAAGAGGCUGUGGAAAGAGUAAGGAAGAGGGGGAGUGCAGAUCCAUGCCAUCAUGCAGUCUUUUAGUUAAAAGACUUUUACUUAGAAUGAAAGAAUAAGCCAUUGCAGGAUUUUGAGCAGAGCAUUGCAGAGUUUUGAGCAGACAAUCCUUCUCAUUACAACGUGGAGAAUAAAUUUAAUGGGGAAUGGAAGGAGGGAGUGCAGUUAGGAGGCCAUUUCAAGAAUCCAGGUGAUUUAGCAGUUGCCAAGGAUAUCAGAAAAAAAGAAAAAAGAAUCCAGGUGAGAGAUGGUAGUGCAGACUAAUGUGGUGGCAGUGGAGAACUAGUGAAUUAUGGAAAGUGAAUAAUCACUUGUUUCUCUUUUCAGAAAGACAGUACUAAUAGAAGGGCUGGCCUGUGUGGAGUCUAAAAAUGGGAACCUCAAAACAGGCUGUUGGCAGGAUUUUGCUAAAGGAGAAAGACUGGCAGGGUGUGCUGGCUCACACCUGUAAUCUCAGUUCUUUGGGAGGCCAAGGUGGGAUAAUUGCUUGAGUGCAGGAGUUCGAGACCAGCCUAGGCAACACAGUGAGACUUCAUCUCUAUAAAAAUAAAUAAAAUGACUGAAUUUGAAAGAUAAAGAUUAUUAUCCCUAGAGUGAUAGACAUUGCUGUAGGGUAGUCCAUCUACCCUGUCUAACCUAAAUCAUAGAGUUGCUCUCAAGCUUUUUCCCUAUCUUGCCUUGAUUCUCUGCUUACCAAGCAUUCAAGGUCCCUUAAUUGAAACUCUGGCCAUAAGUGCUCUGGCCUCAAGAAAAGAAUGAUCCCCCUUGGCUGGGCGCAGUGGCUUACGCCCGUAAUCCUAGCAUUUUGGGAGGCCGAGGUGGGUGGAUCACUUGAGGCCAGGAGUUUGAAACCAGCCUGGCCAACAUGGCGAAACCCCAUCUCUACUAAAAAUACAAAAAAAAAAACAAAAGACAAAAAACCAGGCAUGGUGGUGGACGCGUAUAAUCUGGAGGCUGAGGCAGGAGAAUCGCUUGAACCCGGAAGGCGGAGGUUGCAGUGAGCGGAGAUCACACCACUGCACUCCAGCCUGGGUACCCUUACAAGAGCAGCUGUUAUUUCUUUUGCAUCUAGCUCAUUCUACUUUCUAGCUCAUACGUUCUGUCUCUCAUAUAGGCUACUAAUUCUGUGUUACUCCCUGUUAAAAAAGAACAAAAACAAAAACCCUGUAAUGGUCCAUUUAUGAUAGUAUAAAGCCCAACCUAUAUAUGGUAUAUAUGGUAUGACCUUCGAGGUCCUUCAUUACCUGACAUCAGUCUACUCUUCAAAACUCUUCUUUUUUGGCCGGGCGCGGUGGCUCACGGCUGUAAUUCCAGCACUUUGGGAGGCCGAGGCGGGUGGAUCAUGAGGUCAGGAGAUCGAGACCAUCCUGGCUAACACGGUGAAACCCUGUCUCUACUAAAAAUACAAAAAAUUAGCCAGGCGUGGUGGCGGGUGCCUGUAGUCCCAGCUACUUGGGAGGCUGAGGCAGGAGAAUGGCAUGAACCCGGGAGGCUGAAGUUGCAGCGAGACAAGAUUGCGCCACUGCACUCCAGCCUGGGUAACAGAGCGAGACUCCGUCUCAAAAAAUAUACAUAUAUAUAUAUCCUUCUGGGCCGGGCGCAGUGGCUCAUGCCUGUAAUCCCAGCACUCCGGCAGCCCAAGGCGGGUGGAUCACCUGAGGUCCGGAGUUCCAGACCAGCCGGGCCAACAUGGUGAAACCCCAUCUCUACUAAAAAUACAAAAAGUUAGCCAGGCAUGGUGGCGGGCGCCUAUAAUCCCACCUACUCGGGAGGCUGAGGCAGCACAAUCGCUUGAACCUGGGAGGCAGAGGUUGCGGUGAGCUGAGAUCGCGCCACUGCACUCCAGCCUGGGCAACAAGAGCGAAACUCUGUCUCAAAAAGUAAUAAAAAUAAAAAUAUACUUCCAUGAUGAUCCCGCUCAGGAAUAUUAUCUUCCAUUUCUUUGUCUGCCUAUGUAAUCAUUUAUG